rfam:Gossypium hirsutum cultivar TM-1 chromosome 3, whole genome shotgun sequence
CUAGUGUGGUGUGGGCAUUUCCUAAGUAACGACUUGAAGCAUUCCCAAGCUUCGGAUAAACUUUCACCUUUGAAUUGCUUAAAAUUAGCAAUAUCACGCCUAAAUUG